ensembl:misc_RNA predicted gene, 27502
AGGCAGCGUAGGGCUUCCGGCCUGGGCUGGAGAAGCGCAGGCGGCGUUGUGGCCAGGAGGUGGGCUCAGAGGGCGGCGCAGAGCCUUGCUUGCGGAGAGGCUCUCGGACAGUCGGGGCUGCUGCGGGCCCGAGCCGGGUAGGGGCGCGCUCAGAGCUGUGCGCCCUGCCUGCGCCCUCCUCCCGGCUUAGCGCUCACAA